rnacentral:rRNA from 1 species
UACGGAGGGGGCUAGCGUUGUUCGGAAUUACUGGGCGUAAAGCGCACGUAGGCGGAUCAGCAAGUUAGGGGUGAAAUCCCGGGGCUCAACCCCGGAACUGCCUUUAAAACUGUUGGUCUGGAGUUCGAGAGAGGUGAGUGGAAUUCCGAGUGUAGAGGUGAAAUUCGUAGAUAUUCGGAGGAACACCAGUGGCGAAGGCGGCUCACUGGCUCGAUACUGACGCUGAGGUGCGAAAGCGUGGGGAGCAAACAGG